rnacentral:rRNA from 1 species
GAUGAACGCUGGCGGCGUGCUUAAUACACGCAAGUCGUACGGAAAGGCCCUUCGGGGUACUCGAGUGGCGGACGGCUGAGUAACGCGUGGGAACGUGCCCCAAAGUGAGGGAUAACGCACCGAAAGGUGUGCUAAUACCGCAUAUGGUCUUCGGAUUAAAGCUUCGGCGCUUUGGGAGCGGCCCGCGUACGAUUAGAUAGUUGGUGAGGUAAUGGCUCACCAAGUCGACGAUCGUUAGCUGGUCUGAGAGGAUGAUCAGCCAGACUGGGACUGAGACACGGCCCAGACUCCUACGGGAGGCAGCAGUAAGGAAUCUUCCACAAUGGGGGCAACCCUGAUGGAGCAACGCCGCGUGCAGGAUGAAGGUUUUCGGAUCGUAAACUGCUUUUAUAAGUGAAGAAUAUGACGGUAACUUAUGAAUAAGGAUCGGCUAACUACGUGCCAGCCGCCGCGGUAAAAC